UGGGGAAUAUUGGACAAUGGGCGCAAGCCUGAUCCAGCAAUGCCGCGUGGAUGAAGAAGGUCUUCGGAUUGUAAAGUCCUUUCGACGGGGACGAUGAUGACGGUACCCGUAGAAGAAGCCCCGGCUAACUUCGUGCCAGCAGCCGCGGUAAUACGAAGGGGGCUAGCGUUGCUCGGAAUUACUGGGCGUAAAGGGCGCGUAGGCGGCCGAUCAAGUCAGGCGUGAAAUUCCCGGGCUCAACCUGGGGGCUGCGCUUGAGACUGGUUGGCUCGAGGCCGAGAGAGGGUGGUGGAAUUCCCAGUGUAGAGGUGAAAUUCGUAGAUAUUGGGAAGAACACCGGUGGCGAAGGCGGCCACCUGGCUCGGUACUGACGCUGAGGCGCGACAGCGUGGGGAGCAAA
rnacentral:rRNA from 1 species